UACGUAGGGGGCAAGCGUUGUCCGGAAUUAUUGGGCGUAAAGAGCGUGUAGGCGGUCCGGUAAGUCGGCUGUGAAAGUCCAGGGCUCAACCCUGGGAUGCCGGUCGAUACUGCCGGACUAGAGUGCAGAAGGGGCAACUGGAAUUCUCGGUGUAGCGGUGAAAUGCGUAGAUAUCGAGAGGAACACCUGCGGCGAAGGCGGGUUGCUGGGCUGACACUGACGCUGAUGCGCGAAAGCCAGGGGAGCGAACGGG
rnacentral:rRNA from 1 species